CCGCCACUGGGCUGGCUACGCUGGUCUCUGUCCCUGACUCCCUGUCUCCCAGUCUCCAGACGCCGGGAUUGCAAAAUGUCGAAGAGAACAUUCUAUUUUUCAAGCAGUAGCAGUACACCUACUCCUCCAGAAACCAAGGCAACCAAAAAUCCCCAGAGUAGAAUUUUGUGCCUCAGAUAUCAUUAGUGAUCCCGGAAUGCGCAAAUCAAUUGAUGAGUACCCGUCUGAGAUUAGAGAUCAAGUAAAGAGGGCAUAUGCUUUGAGGGGCCCAACUCAACAACCAGUUGGUUUUACAUUUCCUCGCACAUGGCAAAGUGGUGAAUGGAGAUCCUUUCAGCAGCAUUGGUUUGGGAAAUAUGAUUGGUUGGAGUAUAGUGAGUCAAAGGAUGCAGCAUUUUAUUUUUAUUGUUAUCUUUUCUUUGAGCUAGGAAAGUCCGACAAAUGGGGGAGUAAUGUCUUUGCAAAGGUCAGUAUAGGGAAAUGGAAGAAGGCCUUGGAAAAAUUUGAUAAACAUGGUGCUUCUCAUUCUCAUUGUAAUGCAAGGCUGAAGUGUGAGGACUUUAUGAAUCAAAGAACAAGUGUCACCUGGAAAAUUGAAACGCAUAGUAAGGAAGAAGAAAUUAGAUACAAGAUUCGCAUAACAUCUUCUUUAGAUGUUGCAAGAUUUCUCAUAAAGCAAGGUGAUGCUUUCCGUGGACAUGAUGAGUCCUCCACUUCCCUCAACAAGGGCACAUAUAGAGAGUGGUUGAUUGGUACAAAGACAAGGUUGAAACAGUUAAGGAUGCAUAUGAUAAAGGCAAUAAAAAUUGUCAGAUGUUAUCUCCUGAUAUUCAGAAGGAUCUUGCUAAAGCUUGUGCAGAGGAAGUCACGGCAGUGAUUAUGGAUGAGAUUCGUGGUAGGCGAUUCUCAGUGCUUAUUGAUGAGUCUCGAGAUGUAUCUAUAACGGAGCAAAUGGCUAUGGUUCUGAGGUUUGUGAAUGAUGAAGGAAAAGUGGUGGAGAGAUUUCUUGGACUUAAAGAUAUUGAGAAAUGUACAUCUGUUGCAUUCAAAGAAGCUUUGGUCGGUAUGAUUUCUAGCCACAAGUUAAGCAUCAAUAUGAUUCAGGGGCAAGGUUAUGAUGGAGCAUCCAAUAUGAGAGGUGAAUUUAAUGGGGUGCAAAAGUUGAUUUGUGAUGAAAAUCCUUAUGCCUUCUAUGUUCAUUGCUUUGCCCAUCAAUUGUAAUUAGUGGUUGUCGCUGUUUCAACUUUUACUCCAGCUAUUGCAGAUUUUUUCAACUAUGUUCCUUUGAUAGUUAAUACUGUGGGUGCAUCUUUGUAUGAGAAAGGAUGUCUUGCUUGCAAAGCACCAUGAUAAUUUAAUAGAAAAGUUAGAGAAUUGUGAGGUAGCCACCGGAAGAGGUUUAAAUCAAGAAAGUGGCCUUGCUAGGCCUAGAGAUACUAGAUGGGGCUCUCAUCUUAAAACAUUGCUUCGCAUUUUGGUAAUGUGGGAUGCUAUUUUGGAGGUGCUUGAGAUUGUGAAGAAAGAUUCCAUUAAACCAACAUGUAACGGUGGUGCUUUCGGAUUAAUUGGUAAAAUGGAAAGCUUUGAUUUUGUGUUCAUCCUGCAUUUGAUGAUAGAAUUAUUGAGCACUACAGAUAAUUUGUCACAUGCUUUGCAAAGAAAGGAUCAAGAUAUUGUUGAAGCAAUGCAUUUGAUCAUGAGUGUGAAAGAAAGCUUGCAGGAUAUGAGGGACAAUGGAUGGGAACCAUUAUUCAAAAGAGUGAAGACAUUCUGAGAUAAAAAUGAGAUUAAGGUGCCAAAUAUGGAUAAGAAAGUAAAUGCUAGAGGGACAUCUGCACGUAGAAGGCAAAAGGUAACAAAUAUGCAUUUCUACCAUGUUGAGAUCUUUCUUGCUGCCAUUGAUGCCAUUUUGUCUGAGAUGAAUCAUCGAUUUAGUGAAGUUAGUUCAGAGUUGUUAUCAUGUAUGGCUGCACUUAAUCCAAGGAACUCCUCUAAUUUUGAUGUGGAUAAACUUGUGAGACUUGCUGAAAUAUAUGCUGAAGACUUUGAUGUUGGUCAUAUUUUUCUCUUACCAAGUCAACUUAGAGAGUUCCACCAACGUGUUAAAAGAAACAAAGAGUUUCUUGGAAGCACAGUACUUUCAAAGGUUGCUGAAAUUAUGGAUGGUCAAGACCACGAUGAAUAGUUCUUACCCAUUGGUUUAUCGGCUUGUUGAGCUCACAUUGAUACUUCCGGUGGCAACUGCUUCAGUUGA